CUCAUAGCGUAUAUUUAAGUUGUUGCAGUUAAAAAGCUCGUAGUCGGAUUUUGGCGGAGAACGAACGGUCCGCCGUUAGGUGUGCACUGUUUGGUCUCAGCUUCCUGGUGAGGAGGUGUGCUUCACGGCCACUUAGUCACCGUGGUUACUUUGAAAAAAUUAGAGUGUUCAAAGCGGGCUUACGCUUGAAUAUAUUAGCAUGGAAUAACACCAUAGGACUCCUGUCCUAUUUCGUUGGUCUCGGGACGGGAGUAAUGAUUAAGAGGAACAGUUGGGGGCAUUCGUAUUUCAUUGUCAGAGGUGAAAUUCUUGGAUUUAUGAAAGACGAACUUCUGCGAAAGCAUUUGCCAAGGAUGUUUUCAUUGAUCAAGAACGAAAGUUGGGGGCUCGAAGAUGAUUAGAUACCAUCCUAGUCUCAACCAUAAACGAUGCCGACUAGGGAUUGGCGGAUGUUAAUUGAUGACUUCGCCAGCACCUUAUGAGAAAUCAAAGUUUUUGGGUUCCGGGGGGAGUAUGGUCGCAAGGCUGAAACUUAAAGGAAUUGACGGAAGGGCACCACCAGGCGUGGAGCCUGCGGCUUAAUUUGACUCAACACGGGGAAACUUACCAGGUCCAGACAUAGUAAGGAUUGACAGAUUGAGAGCUCUUUCUUGAUUCUAUGGGUGGUGGUGCAUGGCCGU
rnacentral:rRNA from 1 species